rnacentral:misc_RNA from 1 species
GAUGAAGAACGUAGCGAAAUGCGAUAAGUAAUGUGAAUUGCAGAAUUCAGUGAAUCAUCGAAUCUUUGAACGCACAUUGCGCCCGCCAGCAUUCUGGCGGGCAUGCCUGUUCGAGCGUCAUUUCAACCCUCGAGCCCCCCCCGGGGGCCUCGGUGUUGGGGGACGGCACACCAGCCGCCCCCGAAAUGCAGUGGCGACCCCGCCGCAGCCUCCCCUGCGUAGUAGCACACACCUCGCACCGGAGCGCGGAGGCGGUCACGCCGUAAAACGCCCAACUUUCUUAGAGUUGACCUCGGAUCAGGUAGGAAUACCCGCUGAACUUAAGCAUAUAAUAAGCGGAGGA